UGCCCCAGUAACGGCGAGUGAAGCGGCAAAAGCUCAAAUUUGAAAUCCUGCGGGAAUUGUAAUUUGAAGGUUUCGUGGUCUGAGUCGGCCGCGCCCAAGUCCAUUGGAACAUGGCGCCUGGGAGGGUGAGAGCCCCGUAUGGCGCACGCCGACUCUUUGCACCGCGGCUCCGACGAGUCGAGUUGUUUGGGAAUGCAGCUCUAAGUGGGUGGUAAAUUCCAUCUAAAGCUAAAUAUUGGCGAGAGACCGAUAGCGAACAAGUACAGUGAUGGAAAGAUGAAAAGCACUUUGAAAAGAGAGUGAAACAGCACGUGAAAUUGUUGAAAGGGAAGGGCUUGCAAGCAGACACGGUUUUACCGGGCCAGCGUCGAAAAGGGGGGAGGAACAAGAACUCGAGAAUGUGGCGCGCACCUUCGGGCGCGCGUGUUAUAGCUCGUGUUGACGCCUCCAUCCCUUUUCGAGGCCUGCGAUUCUAGGACGCUGGCGUAAUGGUUGCAAGCCGCCCGUCUUGAACAAACGGACCA
rnacentral:rRNA from 1 species